rnacentral:ncRNA from 1 species
UGAUAGCUGUGAAGCGUGAGGUUGCUGCCGCUGCAAAAAAAUAAGCAAGGGCAGGUUUUCCGUGGAGCGAAUGUCAAGUUAGGAAACUGGCGACAA